AAAGAAGUGAAGCAGGCCAAAAGUUUUUAUUUUCACUGCUGACCAAGGACGAGGCUGUUGAAGAAGUCUGCUGGAGAAAAACCCAUCAGUUGGGAGGACUGAAACCCUUUGGCAGAGAUGUGGGAGGUUCGCUGACUGGUCUUGAAAUUCUUGACCCAAGCCCCGUAAGCAAGCUUCUCUCUCCUGUGAGCAUGGCAUCAACAGAUAGGGACAUCAGAAGACCUGGGGAACGGUGGUGUUCAAUGACAGCAAGGGGAUGAAGAGUCAACAUGGCUGACAGGACAGGUGCAAUAAAGAGAGAAGUGGGCUGGGAAUUGGGGCCCUUCCGCCAACUCUCUGUAUGUCUCUCCAUCUCUCUGUGAACGUAGCUCCUCGCA